AGAAGAAGAAGAAGCCGCGUCCCGCUUUAUGGCCUUUUUCUCUCAAUUUAAUUUAGGGUCUGAUUUAAAGCUGAUCAGCAGCAGGAGAAGAAACUGAUGGAGCAGCAGAGGAAUAUUUUCAUCCAUUCGGAAUCAGCUCAGCCACUACAGGGGAAACAAUGAGCUCAACACAGAAGUGAUCUUUUUGGACACCCCCACAGAAGAGCAGCAUGUGCAGUCCAAGAAUGUCACCAAGGAGCAAUGUGACGACAAACAAAGCCACGUCAAAGAACACCCUGAUCAACAAGCAAGCAGAGAGCCUCACCAAGGAGCAUCAAGCUUCUAGGCUCCUGGAGGGGCAUCCAAAGAGCCUGUCAGAUGAGCAGACAGAGACUGUUUUUGUUUUCAAUCUUGUUUCUUUAUCUGGCAAAAUACUCCAGCUUGAGUAUUUUUAUUUACAUGUUAAGUAUGAUUUUAAUAGUAUGUACCAUUGAAUCCAGUACCAUUUCAUCACAGCAUUAAUAUUUUGAAUGUGGUAGUAGUACUUCUGCAUUUACUUUAUAUUUCUAAGCCAGACAUGUCAAACCUUUUGCCCAGGGGACACAAAUGGCUCACUAGAGUUUCCAGUCUUGCUAACUGAAUGUUCUGGAAAGUGUGGACAUUUCAGUGAAGUCAUGAGUUGAAAUGAAUUGGUGAUGCAAUGCUAGUACUGACACACCACAGUUAAAUUAAAAGUCUUCGAUGCUUGCAUCUAUAUUUUUGGUUCCCGCUAUUUAAAAUAGAUUUCCUUCUCGGUAUUGUCCUAAUUCGGUAGCCAACUUCUAAAACUACCAGGAGAGACUCUGCUGAUAUAUUUGACAGCUGUCACAUACUUCGGAAGAAGGCACACUACGUGGAAGCAACUCGUUUUGUGUACGAGUCAAUGUUAACUAACGGUAACGAUAUGGUCACAGACGGUUAUCUGGACGGUGAUAGCGCUGAGGGGUCGAGAUGACAGAAAAGCUGGAACAGAUUCUGUCACAGCUGACACAGCCUGACAUUGACAUCAUUCAGCAGGUAAUGCCACAAAUAAUUUUAUUAAAGUUAACGUUAGCAUUGCUUUGCCCGGCUAUAAAGGAACUUUCUGACAUGGCUGCUGGAGAUAAGCUAGCUGAUGUUUGUUAAGUUUUGGUUAGCUAACUGUAAUACCACUGGUACUGAUAUUUAAGACACUGGGUUCUCAUAUUAGCCAUUUACUGCCUGAAUAGUUGGUACCUCAAAUAAAAACCAGGCUUCGGUUCAGAGUCAAACAUUUAGUAAACAAUUAAACAAAUAAAAGUAAACUGCAAUAAAUUACAGGUAGUAAUAAAAUACUCUACUAACUCUUUUACGCUACGUCCACACCUACACAGGUAUUUAUGAAAACGCAGCUGUUUCUAUGUGUUUAGGCCUUUCGUCCACAUAUAAACAGCGUUUCGAAUCACUGAAAAUUGAGAUUUGGAGAUAAAACUCAGUUUUUGUGUUUAGGUGUGGACGAGGAAUACAGAGUUCGUCACGCAGUGUCAAAGGUGUCUUAAAAGUGCCUUUGGGAGUUUUUCUAAAAGCAGAUUUAGGAAGCACUAAUAGGCUGAUUGAUAAGGAACCUGUUGAGAAAUUUUUUUUUUUUGUUUUUGAUGCAAGUUACCCAAAGUCAUGCGCCCAGGUUCGGGAAUUCCUUCACACUAACAUCUAUCCCAGGAAUAGAUGAAUCCCAGGACAUGAACCAAAUAUGAUCAAAUGAAUGAGGGCUGAUUUAGCUGUGAUGGAAGCGUAAAAUGUUGCUCACGAAGGUGUAUGAAAUGAUCUGAGAGGGAGAUUCCCUCUUGCCACUUUACCAAAGUGUUGAUGUAUGUUAAGCACUGAAAAAUCAUCAAUUCAUCAGUUUUUUAAAGUUAAAAGUUUUUACAUGUAAUUUGUUCUAAAAAUAGAGCUGACUUUACAUAGCAUGUCUUCAUGUGUGCUAACAUGUACGUGUGCUGUAACCAAAGACUGAUUUGAAAUAAUGGAUAUAAUAUAAUGAAUGAUAUACUUUUUUGUUAAUUGCAUUUUACUUUCAUUGAUAUAUUUUUUAUGAAUUUUGGUGUCUAUGUUGUGUGUCAUAUGGCAAUAAAAAGA